AUUGAACGCUGGCGGCAGGCCUAACACAUGCAAGUCGAGCGGAUGAAGGGAGCUUGCUCCUGGAUUCAGCGGCGGACGGGUGAGUAAUGCCUAGGAAUCUGCCUGGUAGUGGGGGAUAACGUCCGGAAACGGGCGCUAAUACCGCAUACGUCCUGAGGGAGAAAGUGGGGGAUCUUCGGACCUCACGCUAUCAGAUGAGCCUAGGUCGGAUUAGCUAGUUGGUGGGGUAAAGGCCUACCAAGGCGACGAUCCGUAACUGGUCUGAGAGGAUGAUCAGUCAAACUGGAACUGAGACACGGUCCAGACUCCUACGGGAGGCAGCAGUGGGGAAUAUUGGACAAUGGGCGAAAGCCUGAUCAGCCAUGCCGCGUGUGUGAAGAAGGUCUUCGGAUUGUAAAGCACUUUAAGUUGGGAGGAAGGGCAGUAAGUUAAUACCUUGCUGUUUUGACGUUACCAACAGAAUAAGCACCGGCUAACUUCGUG
rnacentral:rRNA from 1 species